GGAGAGAUGGCGUAGUGGUUAAGAGCACUGGAUCCUCUUCCAGAAGACCUGGGUUCAAUUCCCAGCACCA
rfam:Mesocricetus auratus contig069970, whole genome shotgun sequence.